rnacentral:rRNA from 1 species
GAUGAACGCUGGCGGCGUGCCUAAUACAUGCAAGUCGAGCGAAGCGGGGACGGGUGAGGAACACGUGGAUAACCUCCUAUAAGACUGGGAAAAAUUCGGGAAACCGGAGCUAAACCGGAUAAUUAUAGAUGGAUCCGCGAUGCAGUAGCUAGUUGGUCAGGUAACGGCUUACCAAGACAACGAUGCAUAGCCGACCUGAGAGGGUGAUCGGCCACACUGGAACUGAGACACGGUCCAGACUCCUACGCGAGGCAGCAGUAGGGAAUCUUCCGCAAUGGGCGAAAGCCUGACUGAGCAACGCCGCGUGAGUGAUGAAGGUCUUCGGAUCGUAAAUCUCUGUUAUUAGGGAAGCGGUACCUAAUCAGAAAGCCACGGCUAACUACGUGCCAGCAGCCGCGGUAAUAC